rnacentral:rRNA from 1 species
UGCGUAGGCGGUCCGUUAAGUCUGAUGUGAAAGCCCUGGGCUCAACUCAGGAAUUGCAUUGGAAACUGGCGGGCUGGAGUACGGGAGAGGGAAGCGGAAUUCCUGGUGUAGCGGUGAAAUGCGUAGAUACCAGGAGGAACACCGGUGGCGAAGGCGGUUUCCUGGCCCAGUACUGACGCUGAGGCACGAAAGCGUGGGGAGCGAACGGGAUUAGAUACCCCGGUAGUCCACGCUGUAAACGAUGGGUGCUAGGUGUUGGAGGUAUCGACCCCUUCAGUGCCGUAGCUAACGCAUUAAGCACCCCACCUGGGGAGUACGUUCGCAAGAAUGAA